ACGAACGCUGGCGGCGUGGAUAAGACAUGCAAGUCGAACGAGAGAAUUGCUAGCUUGCUAAUAAUUCUCUAGUGGCGCACGGGUGAGUAACACGUGAGUAACCUGCCCCCGAGAGCGGGAUAGCCCUGGGAAACUGGGAUUAAUACCGCAUAGUAUCGAAAGAUUAAAGCAGCAAUGCGCUUGGGGAUGGGCUCGCGGCCUAUUAGUUAGUUGGUGAGGUAACGGCUCACCAAGGCGAUGACGGGUAGCCGGUCUGAGAGGAUGUCCGGCCACACUGGAACUGAGACACGGUCCAGACACCUACGGGUGGCAGCAGUCGAGAAUCAUUCACAAUGGGGGAAACCCUGAUGGUGCGACGCCGCGUGGGGGAAUGAAGGUCUUCGGAUUGUAAACCCCUGUCAUGUGGGAGCAAAUUAAAAAGAUAGUACCACAAGAGGAAGAGACGGCUAACUCUGUGCCAGCAGCCGCGGUAAUACAGAGGUCUCAAGCGUUGUUCGGAAUCACUGGGCGUAAAGCGUGCGUAGGCUGUUUCGUAAGUCGUGUGUGAAAGGCGCGGGCUCAACCCGCGGACGGCACAUGAUACUGCGAGACUAGAGUAAUGGAGGGGGAACCGGAAUUCUCGGUGUAGCAGUGAAAUGCGUAGAUAUCGAGAGGAACACUCGUGGCGAAGGCGGGUUCCUGGACAUUAACUGACGCUGAGGCACGAAGGCCAGGGGAGCGAAAGGGAUUAGAUACCCCUGUAGUCCUGGCAGUAAACGGUGCACGCUUGGUGUGCGGGGAAUCGACCCCCUGCGUGCCGGAGCUAACGCGUUAAGCGUGCCGCCUGGGGAGUACGGUCGCAAGAUUAAAACUCAAAGAAAUUGACGGGGACCCGCACAAGCGGUGGAGUAUGUGGCUUAAUUCGAUGCAACGCGAAGAACCUUACCUGGGCUUGACAUGUAAUGAACAACAUGUGAAAGCAUGCGACUCUUCGGAGGCGUUACACAGGUGCUGCAUGGCCGUCGUCAGCUCGUGUCGUGAGAUGUUUGGUUAAGUCCAGCAACGAGCGAACCCCUGUUGCCAGUUACCAGCACGUGAAGGUGGGGACUCUGGCGAGACUGCCCAGAUCAACUGGGAGGAAGGUGGGGACGACGUCAGGUCAGUAUGGCCCUUAUGCCCAGGGCUGCACACGUACUACAAUGCCCAGUACAGAGGGGGCCGAAGCCGCGAGGCGGAGGAAAUCCUGAAAACUGGGCCCAGUUCGGACUGUAGGCUGCAACCCGCCUACACGAAGCCGGAAUCGCUAGUAAUGGCGCAUCAGCUACGGCGCCGUGAAUACGUUCCCGGGUCUUGUACACACCGCCCGUCACAUCAUGGAAGCCGGUCGCACCCGAAGUAUCUGAAGCCAACCGCAAGGAGGCAGGGUCCUAAGGUGAGACUGGUAACUGGGAUG
rnacentral:rRNA from 1 species